UACGUAGGGUGCAAGCGUUGUCCGGAAUUAUUGGGCGUAAAGAGCUCGUAGGCGGUUCGUCGCGUCGGCUGUGAAAACCUGAGGCUCAACCUCAGGCCUGCAGUCGAUACGGGCGGACUUGAGUACUGCAGGGGAGACUGGAAUUCCUGGUGUAGCGGUGAAAUGCGCAGAUAUCAGGAGGAACACCGGUGGCGAAGGCGGGUCUCUGGACAGUUCCUGACACUGAGACACGAAGGCCAGGGGAGCAAACGGG
rnacentral:rRNA from 1 species